rnacentral:lncRNA from 1 species
GAAUUUUAAUGUUGGCUGCAAUUACUCAUGGAACAAAAAUUUAGAAACAGAAACUGGAAGGAAGUUCUCAGUAAUCAAGAAAAACAGCUAAUGAGCAGAUGAUAGAACCAGUGCUCUUCCGAGGGCCCUUAUCAAAAAUUGUACACGGUUAUUGUUUGUUGCACAGCCAGGCCUCACUUAAUUCUUUAGCCUCCUCUCCCAGGAUCGAUUCAGACUGUGACAGUACAUUUUCCGGCAUAAUCUUGUUAUUGACAAAACCAAGUCACAUUCAGAGAGCAGUUCUGGGCCACUCCUUAGAUAAAGACAACCACAAUGAGACGUAAUUGCUGUAAUGAUGGUUAUUAUAUUGUUGAGGUGCUGCAGAUAGCCUCUGUUUUUAUUGCCUUGACAUCUUCCUUUGUGCCGCCUGCGUCCCAGUUGCUUUUCCUCCUGCCAAGAGCAAUAUGGCAAAUUCGCUGUUUGUUAGGAAAUAGCUGUCAAUGGAACACAUGAUGUGUUUGCUGAAGAUAAAUUCUUGCAAGGACAGACGUGAAAAGAUUCUGGAUGGGUGCCAAUUUGUUCUCUGGGAAUUGAUUAUAAACACGGAAGACUCUCUUUUUUCUACUUCUUUUCCUUCAACUGUAGUGCAAAAAUAAACACAGUAUAGUCACGCAUGGACCACUCUUUUACCUGUGGCUUGGCCUUUCCCUUGAUGAAUAAUGGAGACUAUAAUGCAGAAAAAAAGAAUCUUAAUUACAGAAGAUGUCUUAUUCACAGAUUGAAACAACUUUUGCAUUGUAGCAUUUCUAAACCUACGCUGAUACCUUUGCCUGAAAGACCACACUAUAUACAAACAAUUAAACUCCUUCACUUAUACAAGAACUACAAUGGAAAACAACUAAAAAUGUGUCUGCAAAAAUAUAUCCAUGAAUGCAAGAAAUGAUCCGUAAGAGAAGGGGCCUAUGCAGCUUUUAAAAUUAUUAUUAUUAUUAAAGAGCUGUGCAUUGAAAAGGGCUAUAUAGCAUGGAAAUUAAAAUGCUUCGGUGCUGUGAGGAUUU